rnacentral:lncRNA from 1 species
GACUCAUCAGUUGAGCAGAUGGAUCCGUUUCUCGUGUAUGGGGACACGUAUGAACGCAUCAUGCUUGACUCAAUGGGAGGGUUACAAGAUCCAUCUCAGCAAAUUACACAGGAUGUUGACAGGAGCUCAAAGGGCUUCCCUGUGUGCCUGGCACUAGCAGCUGUCAAACAGGCCACACGAAACAGAAUGUUACCAGGCAGUGAAGGCUCACUGGUAAGAUCUGAUUCAAAUGAUUUCACCUUUCAUCCAUUGUACCAGAUAGGCAAACUAGAGAAGAAACUGUGAAUGAACCCUUGUUCCUCACUUUGUAGAUAGGGUUCAUGGUAACAUUGUCUGGGUGCCAUUGUUGAUCUCAAAUGGUGCUGCCAGUCGUCAUAUGACUGAACAUUAUAAAAGCCUUUAAUUCCAAAUAUGUUUUCACAUAUGUUUUAUUAUAUGGCGUGUGUUUGUCUCUCUCUCGCUCUCUCGCUCUCUCUCUCUCUCUCUCUCUCUGUGUGUGUGUGUGUGUGUGUGUGUGUGUGUGUGUGUGUGUGUGUGUGUGUGUGUGUGUGUGUGUGUGUGUUUGUGUGUGUGUGUGUGUGUGUGUUCUAGAUUGAGAAGAUGAAGGUGGAGCCCAGUACAAACGUUAGAUGGGGAGAACUUGUUGGAAUCUGUGAGAAAAUGACUGAGGGUCGUCUAGCAGAGCUGAGCCCCAGUCUGUCUCAGAUUGUGCUCCACACAGCUCUAGUGGUCCACCAGUCUCCAGCUCCUGAGGUCGAGCUCCUGAGGACCCUGUGCUUCAGUCCUGGAAAUGCCAAGGACUUAUUUUUUCCGACAAUGCCAAGUUCAGCAUAUGACAUGAAGAAUUGGGUUGGGACCUCAGGGGAAAAGGUUUGGCAGUGCCAGUGUGGUGAGGCUGUUUUAAUUGGGGAGGUAAGUUUCCAACAAAAUCACAUCAGUUCUCACUCCCUUUUACAUGCAUGUUUUAUACCAUAAUGUUAAUCUCUGGUCAUCAUUGUUUAUAGUGUGGAAAACCCUGGGUAACAGCAAAAUGCAUAAACUGUGGCCGAGAUGUUGGUGGUGAGAUGCACAAAGCAGUGGAGGGUUUUCAAAACAUUGAGUGAGUGUUUUUACAUCAUGUGUUCCUGUCACUACAGUAAAAUACAGUCAUGAUAAUUUUUAUUAUGUUUUCAUUUUGUGUGCAAACAUUUUCAUUUCACUUUUAUAUUAAUGUAGUUCAGUUCUGUUCAUGAUAAUAACCUUGUUACUGAUACAUUUUGUUAUUUGCAAAACCUUUUUAAAAUAAGUGAGAAUACUUUACCAAUUGAAUUAUUUGUGACCUCCAAAGGAAUGAAGAGGGUAGUGGAAGAGGCCAUAAUCUCGGUGACCCUGGGAGUCGGAGAGAUCAGGAGGGAGAGCGCAAUCUUUUUGGGGCUCCCCUGCUUCUGGUCCGAGCUCUCAUUCACUCAUCUUUGAUCUGGGGCACAAUGGACCAUUUAGAGGUAUUUUUGGUUAAUAGGGAUAAAGAGUGUCAAUUACUAUUACAGUACAGAAAAGGUCAUUUGGACAUCCGAUACACCCAACAUCCAAUACUUGUCAACAAGGCCAUAGCCCACUGGCAGCCUUACAGUCAGUGUAGUGUUAUCAAAUAUACUUGACUUCCUUAAUACCCAUAGACAGCGUACUGUCAAAAACAUUGUGAUUGAGACUCUACACUGCGGUUUCAACUGUUUCAACGGGGUCAACUGUUUUUUCUGCCUUCUCUCUCUUUCUCUCUCUCCCUCUCUCUUUAGGAAAUCAAAAGCAUAAUCCAGUUUCCAUCCACCAAUGUAAGGGCGUACCUGUGUAAUCACCUCCAGAAAGACAUUGACUUGCUUGCCAGUGCUUUAGGAAAAAGUACUGAAGAUGCUGAGAUCACUGUCCACCUAUUUCUGAAACACAUCAUGGAGAUCAAAUCAGGUACAAUCAUACUUUAGUUUGUUAUUCAUUUGUUUUG